GAAAGAUUCAGAGAAAUCUCCUUUAGAAAAACACUGUCAUCCUCAUUUUGAUUCUUUAACCAACUGAUGGCAUGGUGCCUUCUCCCAGAGAACAGUUCAGUGUCUGCCUUAUCUGGGAUCACAGGGCAGCUGAGGUUGGAAGAAACCUCUGAAG